rnacentral:rRNA from 1 species
CGGACGGGUGAGUAACACGUGGAUAACCUACCUAUAAGACUGGGAUAACUUCGGGAAACCGGAGCUAAUACCGGAUAAUAUUUUGAACCGCAUGGUUCAAAAGUGAAAGACGGUCUUGCUGUCACUUAUAGAUGGAUCCGCGCUGCAUUAGCUAGUUGGUAAGGUAACGGCUUACCAAGGCAGCGAUGCAUAGCCGACCUGAGAGGGUGAUCGGCCACACUGGAACUGAGACACGGUCCAG